rnacentral:rRNA from 1 species
AAUAUUGGACAAUGGGGGGAACCCUGAUCCAGCCAUGCCGCGUGUGUGAAGAAGGUCUUCGGAUUGUAAAGCACUUUACGUUGGGAGGAAGGGCAGUAAGUUAAUACCUUGCUGUUUUGACGUUACCGACAGAAUAAGCACCGGCUACCUUCGUGCCACCAGCCGCGGUAAAUCGAAGGGUGCAAGCGUUAAUUGGAAUUAUUGGGCGUAAAGCGCGCGUAGGUGGUUCGUUAAGUUGGAAGUGAAAGCCCCGGGCUUAACCUGGGAAUUGCUUUCAAAACUGACGAGCUAGAGUACGGUAGAGGGUAGUGGAAUUUCCUGUGUAGCGGUGAAAUGCGUAGAUAUAGGAAGGAACAUCAGUGGCGAAGGCGACUACCUGGACUGAUACUGACACUGAGGUGCGAAAGCGUGGGGAGCAAACAGG